rnacentral:rRNA from 1 species
UACGGAGGGGGCUAGCGUUGUUCGGAAUGACUGGGCGUAAAGCGCGCGUAGGCGGAUCAGCAAGUCAGGGGUGAAAUCCCGGGGCUCAACCCUGGAAUGGCCUUUGAGGCUGUUGGUCUUGAGUUCGAGAGAGGUGAGUGGAAUUCCGAGUGUAGAGGUGAAAUUCGUAGAUAUUCGGAGGAACACCAGUGGCGAAGGCGGCUCACUGGCUCGACACUGACGCUGAGGUGCGAAAGCGUGGGGAGCAAACAGG